GGGCCGGGCCGGGCUGCGCCGCGCCGCGCCACGCCGCGACGAGAAGGACGGGACUGAACGGGAAGGUACAGAAUCGACCGCGCUGCCUUCCCCUUGGAAACGCGGCACAAGACGGCGCCCGCCAACCCACGCCCUCCUCGUCAAGCCACCGCCGUCUGAUUGGGCAUUAGCGGAGAUCUUCCCGCCUCCGAGCGCGAAAUGCCUGCCUAUUGGCUGAAGUGCUGCCGUUCAAGGAGGGGGGCGUGUUUCUCUGGGUGCCGCUACCCAGAGUGCCGUGCGGCGCGGGCGGAAGGAAAGCGUCUGGCGGAUCAUAGCGCUGGCUCUAGUGAGCCCAGCGCAUGGCCGCUGGGUUCCGUGAGCGCCGCCUCCGCUCGGUCCUCCCCAGCCUGCGUUUGCCGUGCCUGUGGCGGACGAGCUCCUCGCGUCCUCAUGGUUGGAAACGCACUGCUGCGUACAUCUGCAUCAAACUGCGUGGAGGAGGCUCAGGAGAACCAUACAGAGUCUUCCAGUGCCUGAAGAGGCUACAAGAAACCUGGAGCGGGGCUUUGGACAAGGGCCUGUAAGGACAGGACAAGGGGAAUGGCUUUAACCUGACAGAGGGGAGAUUGAGAUGAGAUCUUAGGCAGAAAUUCUUCCAUGUGAGGGUGGUGAGGCCCUGGCACAGGGUGCCCCGAGAAGCUGUGGCUGCCCCAUCCCUCGCAGUGUUCAAGGCCAGGCUGGAUGGGGCUUGGAGCAACCUGGUCUAGUGGAAGGUGUCCCUGCCUGUGGGAGGAGGUUGGAACUGGAUGAGAUUUGAGGUCCCUUCCAACACAAACUAGACUGUGAUUCUAUGACUCCUUACUUUCGAUCUUUAGUACAAUCAUGAAAGUGUGGCCAAGGACCCUGUGUCAGGGAUCUUAGUUUGUUUUUUCAAUUUUAAUUGCUGUUGAAUGCCUCACAGCUUUCACAACACACCUUUGGGAACAUACGAGAACACACAAAAGUCACUUACUAAAUUGGAGAACUCAGCCUGUCCAGUAAAAACUCAGUAGUUGGAGGAACCAUGUGCUGAAAAAUGGUUUUGGAUAAGACAGCAAAAGCAGAGAGCAGGUUUGUUAACACUGUUACUUUCUAAUUAUAAUAAUCCAGUGAAGCUUGUUGUCGUAUGGUAAAUUUUUAGACACAAGGGGUACUGCUUAAUUAUUUCAGUAAUAUGCACAUGAAUUAAUAACUUUGAAACACCUUUGGCUGAAGUCUUUGACCUAGAUUUUAGAAGUUAAAUACUCAUAAUUCCUCUUUUGCCAUGUAUUUUGCCACCUUUAUCUCCCUCAGUUCUCCAAUUUUUGUUUUUGGGUACGGAUGCCUGCUCCUCAAAGGCAAGUUAUUACUAUAGGCUUUAACAGUACCUGUUUAAAAGCUCAUUUUGAGGUCUGCUAUAUAGCAUCCUAAAGACUAACAUUAAUCAGUAAUAUUCUUUCUCCCUCCCCCCAGCACCCCCGCGAAUGUUCUUUUUAGCAGAAACAGCCCACAUUUCUUUCAUGGUGACAUGAAUGCACAUAGAGAUGUUCACUGAUGUAAAAACUUAAAUUAGAUGCUGUAGUACUGAAGUAAUUAAAAUUACUGUUCCACGUGGUUGAAAGAUGAUUACAAAGACCCCUCAAUCACCUGAGAUGGUUACCUCACAACAUAGCAUCUAUUGUGAAAUACAAGGUGUAGCUCAAUAUGACAGCAGUAAUAUAACACAUUUCACUGUAUCGACUAGGUUAGUUGUGACUGUUAAGCUGUAUUACAAAAGACCCCCUGCAUCACCAAUAAGGACAGAGGAGGAAGGCUGGGUGUGGGACCCCAAUAACAACCUAACAAGUGAAGCCUCCCAGCUGGCUGCUUCCAAGCUGACUUGUUCUAUUCUUUAGCUAAAGCCAACAUUGUAGUACUUUUGAAAUUAUUUUAAUUGCCUUAUUUUCUUCAUAAAAUCAUCUUAUUUUUGAAUUUGCCUUCAAAUUCUAUCCUCAUCACCACAUAACAUUCAAAAUCUAACAGGUUAAACUAGUUUUGAAAGAUUGUGUUUGUGCUAGCAUGCGAAGAGAUUGACAUGAGGACUGCAAAUUAACACUGAAACUCCUGGGAGAAAACAAACACAUUUAAUGUGAUAUCCCUGCAGUCUAGUUAUCUGUUGUCUGGAAGGAAGCGUACCUUCAUCUUUGGAUGAAGAGACGCAAUUUACCUUUUUCAUUUAUUCUUGCUAUUACACAGGCACAUUUCUUUUCCGCUGGUUUUCAUGACAGUAGCUGCCUUUGUUAUCCAUGGACUAAUUUCCACAAACUUCUAUGGUUUAUCAGUUACUAAGGAAUUUUAUCUUUUACAGAAACUAGUCUUCAAGUAUACUAAGGAUUAUUUAAAGCUCUAGUUAUGUGCCAAACAGAAGCUAUGUGGCCUAUUUUUGUUUCAAGUAAACAGCUGUCAUUAGCUACUGUCUUCUGUGGCAAUAAUAAUCUAUGUCACCACAAACUGAAACUGACCACCAAAUAUAAAUUUUCAUCACAUCCAUUUUUUCUGUGUACGAAUUCUGCUGAAAACCUAAUUCUGAUUUGUGUUAAAAUGUGGAUUUUUUUUUUUUCCAAGAAGUACCACUCAUGGUUUUAUACAAACUUGGCAGCAUUUGUCCAUGCUUUAUAAACAUUUAUAAUGCAGUCUCCUGUCCAGAGCACUGUUAGCAACUUUUAAAGACUUUGUACUCCAUUUAGAAUCAAUAAGUGCUUCUCUUGGAAAACACCUAGAAAUUAUGACUGAACACAGGAUUAUAACUUUUUAUUAUGACUAAUUACGAUAAUUUUUUAUGGGUCAACUGUUGUUUUAACAUCACAUAAGUCUUGACAGAUUAUGGAGCAAAACUUCCCAUACAUUUAGAUUUUACAACUAAAUCAACAAAGUUCUACUACCCAAGAUGUUGCAAUAUUUAAACUUACAAUGUAUGUUUUAAAUAUUCAAUCCAAGUAGUGUACAAGGCCACUGUCAAACUCUAAAACUUGGCUAAUUCUUAACAACAGUCACAGACAGUUCUUUACACAUACAUUGAUAUAUCUUCUUUAAGAUAUAUCAUUUACCUAGUAGUGUAUUUCUUACAACAUAAAAAUUAUUCUGGGACCUUCAAAAACUACUUUCAGUGGGAUCAUAGCAGCAGUUUACUCUCUUUUUGGGCUAUGUUCAUGUAAAGCAUAAUUCUGAGCUAGGAAAUCAUUCCUAAAUUUUGGUCAAGGUAAAAAAACCCAGGCAAUUGCUGUUAUCUACAUACAUUUAAUGGACUUAAGCAUGCCUUAAUAGGGCAUUUUGACACGUGAGGAUCUUGUACCUGAUAUGGAGCACAAAUUUAAGGAAUGAUGAAGGAUGUCUUCUCUGUUGAAUUGGCAUGCUUGUGAGCCUUCUCUUAGGAGCUCAAAAGGGUUUCAAGGCUAUCAAUAUUGGAUAAAAUAAAGCAAUGGCAGUAUAACACAAAAUGCUAGUUCCACCAUGCUCUCACUCUCCUAAUGAACACUUCCAAAAUUUUAGCAGCUGGCAGGCUUUCAGACAGAAGAGGUCUCUCUGCCUGUGUUACUACACAGGGCUCAGCACCAGUGCUCCUACAGCCUUCUUGACAGGAUAGAGCAAGAUUACUACUGGUAUUAUGACACAGAUGGCUAAUUUGAAGGAAUUCAGUUACUAUUGGGUAACCUGUGACACCACAGCUUCACCUGGAUAACUGGUGUAAACUUCAGUGCUGUGUAUUUCUUCAGCCACUCUCACUUCAUCCACCCCAGAUCUGCGAUUGCCCAUUGUGAACCCUCGGCUAUCUAGAACAGUGCCUGGACUGCUGUGUGAAUAGCAGCGUGUAUCAGCAGGCUAAAAAGUAAAACCACACUGUGGAGUUUGUUCUGGGCCUCUUCACUGAACAGCUGUUUUGCUUCCCAGGCUAACUUUUGUGUUUCUUUAUAUAGCGAAAUGAGCUAAGACAAAAAGCUCUUGGCUUCAUUUAUGACAGAAGUCUACCUGCUGAUUGAACACUCCCUCAUGAAACACACUGACAUUUUUGGGUUUCUCCAAAAAAAAAGACAAUGAUCCAAGUGACAGCAGGUCUUUCAAGCACCACACUGCUGCACGUGGUCUGCCCACUUGCCAUUGUGCUUCCCCUUGGAGAUAGGUUGUGCCUA
rnacentral:lncRNA from 1 species